rnacentral:tRNA from 1 species
GCGCCUGUAGCUCAGCCUGGAUAGAGUGGCACCCUCCUAAGGUGAAGGUCCGGGGUUCAAAUCCUCGCAGGCGCG